GUUUUUUUUUCCCUGUGGCAUUUUUGUUGCUUUGGUUUGAUUUUGAUGCAUUAGAAAUCUCAGCACCUUUUAAUGACUCCCUGCCAGAGAGUCCCUCUGAUAAUACCUGGCUAUUACUCCACGGAAGGACUUCUCAUUGCAGACACACCAUUCAGAACUGACUGUCACCUUGUUCAAGGAGCAAGAAGUUGAUAUACAAUCAGUCGUCGGUGGAUAUGGUGGAACAUGCCUUUAAUCCCUGAACAGAAGCAAAGCCAUUUAAGGAGUUUGAGGUAAGCCUGGUCUACCCAACAAGUUUCAGGCCAAACUGGGGUCAAAACUGAAAUCUGGCCUCAAACAAUUAACAUUAGGAAUUAUACUUCUAUUAUUGCUAUUGCUCUAAUUAAUG
rnacentral:lncRNA from 1 species